UACGUAGGGGGCAAGCGUUAUCCGGAUUUACUGGGUGUAAAGGGAGCGUAGACGGCGAUGCAAGUCUGAAGUGAAAGGCGGGGGCUCAACCCCUGGACUGCUUUGGAAACUGUAUGGCUGGAGUGCAGGAGAGGUAAGUGGAAUUCCUAGUGUAGCGGUGAAAUGCGUAGAUAUUAGGAGGAACACCAGUGGCGAAGGCGGCUCACUGGACUGUAACUGACGUUGAGGCUCGAAAGCGUGGGGAGCAAACAGG
rnacentral:rRNA from 1 species